rnacentral:rRNA from 1 species
UUUCAGCCAGGGAAAGAAAGCGAAAAGUGACGGUACCUGCAGAAGAAGCGCCGGCUAACUACGUGCCAGCAGCCGCGGUAAUACGUAGGGCGCAAGCGUUGUCCGGAAUUAUUGGGCGUAAAGAGCUCGUAGGCGGCUUGUCACGUCGGUUGUGAAAGCCCGGGGCUUAACCCCGGGUCUGCAGUCGAUACGGGCAGGCUAGAGUUCGGUAGGGGAGAUCGGAAUUCCUGGUGUAGCGGUGAAAUGCGCAGAUAUCAGGAGGAACACCGGUGGCGAAGGCGGAUCUCUGGGCCGAUACUGACGCUGAGGAGCGAAAGCGUGGGGAGCGAACAGGAUUAGAUACCCUGGUAGUCCACGCCGUAAACGGUGGGCACUAGGUGUGGGCAACAUUCCACGUUGUCCGUGCCGCAGCUAACGCAUUAAGUGCCCCGCCUGGGGAGUACGGCCGCAAGGCUAAAACUCAAAGGAAUUGACGGGGGCCCGCACAAGCGGCGGAGCAUGUGGCUUAAUUCGACGCAACGCGAAGAACCUUACCAAGGCUUGACAUACACCGGAAAGCAUCAGAGAUGGUGCCCCCC